rnacentral:rRNA from 1 species
UACGAAGGUGGCAAACGUUAUUCGGAUUCACUGGGCUUAAAGGGCGCGUAGGCGGGCGGUCAAGUCAGGGGUGAAGUCCUCCAGCUUAACUGGAGCAGUGCCUUUGAUACUGGCCGUCUUGAGGGAGGUAGGGGCAUGUGGAACUUCCGGUGGAGCGGUGAAAUGCGUAGAUAUCGGAAGGAACACCGGUGGCGAAGGCGACAUCCUGGACCGGCAUUGACGCUGAGGCGCGAAAGCCAGGGGAGCAAACGGG